rnacentral:rRNA from 1 species
CGACUACGAGUUUGAUCAAUGGCUCAGAUUGAACGCUGGCGCAUGCUUAACACAUGCAAGUCGAACGCGAAAAGUCCUUCGGGGCGAGUAGAGUGGCGGACGGGUGAGUAACGCGUGGGAAUCUACCCUAGAGCGGGGGACAACCGGGGAAAACCCGGGCUAAUACCGCAUACGUCCUACGGGAGAAAGAGGGCCUCUGCUUGCACGCUCUCACUCCAGGAUGAGCCCACGUCCGAUUAGCUAGUUGGUAGGGUAAAGGCCUACCAAGGCCACGAUCGGUAGCUGGUCUGAGAGGAUGAUCAGCCACACUGGGACUGAGACACGGCCCAGACUCCUACGGGAGGCAGCAGUGGGGAAUAUUGGACAAUGGGCGCAAGCCUGAUCCAGCAAUGCCGCGUGUGUGAAGAAGGCCUGCGGGUUGUAAAGCACUUUCAGUGGGGAAGAACAGAUUCGGGUCAAUACCCCGGAGCCCUGACGUUACCCACAGAAGAAGCACCGGCUAACUCCGUG